UACGUAGGGUGCGAGCGUUGUCCGGAAUUACUGGGCGUAAAGCGUGCGUAGGCGGUUAUUUAAGUCGGGGGUGAAAGCCCCGGGCUCAACCUGGGAAUUGCAUUCGAGACUGAAUAGCUAGGGUACGGUAGAGGGAAGCGGAAUUUCCGGUGUAGCGGUGAAAUGCGUAGAUAUCGGAAGGAACAUCAGUGGCGAAAGCGGCUUCCUGGACCAGUACCGACGUUCAGGCACGAAAGCGUGGGGAGCAAACAGG
rnacentral:rRNA from 1 species